GCUCCUGGGAUAGCUCAGUUGGUAGAGCAUAAGUCUCUUGAUCUCAGGGCUGGGGGUUUAAGCCCCACAUUGGGUA